CACAAAAGUGCGGCGGGGCGGCGGGGCUGGGUCCCGCCUGCCUCCCGCCCCGGCUUCUCGUACGGAGGAGAAUGACUGGCGGUCCCAGCCCCCGCCGCGGUUGAGGUCAUGCUAAAGGAGUGACAUCGCGCUGCAGGAACAGAACAACGACAUCCACUGGCGGCUCAGCCAGAGACACGCACACGGCCGCGGGGAGGGCGGGGGUGGUGGGGGGAGAGGGAUGGGAGAGGGACGGAGCCCGCCCCGAGGCGCUGUGGAUGGGCCCCUCUCCUCCCCACAGCUCUAUGCCCCCUCUGUGCCGGCGCCCCAUCAGCUGGGGAUGCUCCGUGGGCACGGGGUGGGGAAAUCGGGGAGGAGAGGUCGGGAAAAGUCCCCACUCCUACCCACGGGAGGGACAGGAGCGGGUCCUCUCCCAGCUUCUCGCUGCUGGCCUUCCCUUCUCUUCCAGCCCUGACCUCCUCAUUUGGAUCGGGAAGGGGUGGCCGGGACAGAGCUAUGGUCCAGUGCAGGGCCCCAGAGCCCACCUGGCACCGGCCCCCCUUCCUCGACAUGGAGCCUUCACCCCCAGGAAAGAAAACUCGAUGUCUGGGAAGUUGAACUGGGGGAAACCUCGAGCCCUUGGACACGACAGAGGAACUGUGAGGCCUGGCGACCCCUGGCAGGUCUGCAGCUUGUCGACGCUCCCCUUAAAGCCAACAAGAGUUUAAAGGUAGACCCUUUUCCUGCAUCAGGCCGUACCCCAGCCCGGGUCUGCUCUUCAUUCCCACCUCAGGGAACCCCAAGUAAGGGCAGGUAGCCCCUCGACGGUUGCUUCCCUUGGAUCCGCUCCGGCUCGGCUCUACCCUGAGCGAUGCCGGCCGAUGUGCCAGUCCCGGGGCACGGUACUGAGACCCCGAAGAGAUCAUCCCUGAAGGGAACAGAGAGGUUUGCCUCCCGCGGCUCCCGGCCGCCCUGCUCGCUGCCUUCCCUCUCUCCUUCAUUAAAAGGGCACUUUUAUUUUUCCAACGGAGGUGCCCUCUCCCGGAGAGCUGCCCACGCUGUGUCACUCAAUCAGCCGGGUCUUGGCACGGUGGCACGGUCCCCUCCCCGGGGAGCUCUGGCGGGGCGGCCCGAGGGGACGGGGGCUGCCCGGGCAGCGGCGAGCCCUGGACCGUCCUCCGCCCCCUCCCCUUCGCCCGCCCCUCUCCCCGCUUUGAAUUCUUUGCCACCGAGCUGAAUAAAAGUGGUUGUUGUAAAUUGAA